rnacentral:rRNA from 1 species
CCUACGGGUGGCAGCAGUAGGGAAUUCUGCGCAAUGGGCGAAAGCCUGACGCAGCAACGCCGCGUGAACGAGACGCCCUUUGGGGUGUAAAGCUCUGUCAGUGGGGACGAAAAAUGACGGUAUCCACAGAGUAAGCACCGGCUAACUCCGUGCCAGCAGCCGCGGUAAUACGGAGGGUGCAAGCGUUGCCCGGAAUCAUUGGGCGUAAAGAGUUCGUAGGCGGCAUGUAAAGUCAGGUGUUAAAGGCGCAGGCUUAACCUGUGUAUGGCACUUGAUACUUGCAAGCUGGAGUGCGGUAGAGGUAAAGGGAAUUCCUGGUGUAGCGGUGAAAUGCUUAGAUAUCAGGAGGAACAUCGAUGGCGUAAGCGCUUUACUGGAACGUAAUUGACGCUGAGGAACGAAAGCCAGGGUAGCAAAUGGGAUUAGAUACCCUGGUAGUC